rnacentral:rRNA from 1 species
UACGUAGGUGGCAAGCGUUGUCCGGAUUUACUGGGCGUAAAGAGCGCGCAGGCGGUCGUUCAAGUCGCGUGUGAAAGCCCCCGGCUCAACUGGGGAGGGUCACGCGAUACUGAUCGACUCGAAGGCAGGAGAGGGUAGUGGAAUUCCCGGUGUAGUGGUGAAAUGCGUAGAUAUCGGGAGGAACACCAGUGGCGAAGGCGACUACCUGGCCUGUUCUUGACGCUGAGGCGCGAAAGCUAGGGAGCAAACGGG